rnacentral:rRNA from 1 species
CAGCAGCCGCGGGAACACGCAGGGGGCAAGCGUUAUCCGGAAUUACUGGGUGUAAAGGGAGCGUAGACGGCUAAACAAGUCCGAAGUGAAAUGCCGGGGCUCAACCCCGGAGCUGCUUUGGGAACUGUAGAACUGGAGUGUCGGAGGGGUAAGCGGAAUUCCCAGUGUAGCGGUGAAAUGCGUAGAUAUUGGGAGGAACACCGGCGGCGAAGGCGGCUUACUGGACGACAACUGACGUUGAGGCUCGAAGGCGUGGGUAGCAAACAGGAUUAGAUACCCCCGUAGUCCCUGUCUCUUAUAC